rnacentral:rRNA from 1 species
UAACGCGUAUCCAACCUUCCCUAUAGUAGUGGAUAGCCCGGCGAAAGUCGGAUUAAUACACUAUGUUAUUCAACGAGGACAUCUGAAAUGAAUCAAAGGUUUACCGCUAUAGGAUGGGGAUGCGUCUGAUUAGAUAGUAGGCGGGGUAACGGCCCACCUAGUCGACGAUCAGUAGGGGUUCUGAGAGGAAGGUCCCCCACAUUGGUACUGAGACACGGACCAACUCCUACGGGAGGCAGCAGUGAGGAAUAUUGGUCAAUGGGCGCGAGCCUGAACCAGCCAAGUAGCGUGCAAGGGAUGACUGCCCUAUGGGUUGUAAACUGCUUUUAUCAGGGAAUAAAGUGAGGCACGUGUGCCUUUUUGUAUGUACCUGAUGAAUAAGGACCGGCUAAUUCCGUGCCAGCCGCCGC